UUGCAAUGCAGAGUCUCCUGAGAAGAGAUUCAGACUGAACAGCUUUGUGUCGGACUUUGGAAGACCGCUGGUGCCCAAGGGGUUCUCUGGCAGCACAAUGACGAAUCUAGGUCCCUCUUUCACUGCUACGUCAAUGAAGUGGACCGCUUGGACAAGGCCAAAGCUGGUAUCCCAACCAUAGCCCUUGACAGUGAUGUUCGGCUCCAGGAAGCCAUCAGAUGCAGCAGGUGGCCAGAGGAGGAGCCGAACGGGCUCAUGAAAUGUGACACCCACAGCUUCAUCAACACGGACCAGAACUCUUCCUUUGGGGAAGAUGAUCUCCUGAUUUUGGAACCACCUAUUGUUCUAGAAAAUAAGCCAGUUGCCCAGACCUCACACAAAGACUUGAAUUGGAAAUGUGCUUUGUCAAGUGUUUCUCUGAAGAUGUGAAGUCUGUCUUUGUAUGGCAGGAAGUCCCCUUUCACAAAAUUGUAUGUGUUUGUGUCUGAGAGAGAGAAAUGGAGACAGACAGAAAGACGGAGACAGAAGAGAGCCCCCUCAGAAGAGAGCUAGUUAAGUGUCAGCGGCCUUGAACGGGGGUUGCCAUGGUGCGUUUCAUCUGGCGCUGCCACUUCCACGCUCUGCCUUUAGCACGUUGCUUUGCCUCCCAAGGCUGCCACCCUUUAAACUGUAAGCUCUUCUGAGAUCCUCCGGCCACCCUUGCUCCAACCUGAGGACAGAAGUACCGUUCCUUUCCUAGGAGGAGGAUCGAUCCAUGGUGCAUUUUAUGACAAUCCUGUCCCCAGGAAUGCACGGAAGUUUAUCAGCUGAGUGAGGGGAAGUGCCUCUGUGUCUCUGUGUCCCUGUAUCUCUGUCUGCUCACAGUGCCCUGCCACCGGCUACUGAACAAGAAAAGUGCUAUUCACCAUGCUGUGUCUUUUGCAGAUGUGUAGGUGAUGGUCUUGUGGCUCAUGUGUGGGCUUUGUGCUGGGAUGGUGAAGGGCUUAUAAAUACCUCAUCAACAUGUAUUCGAGAUGGCCUGGUGCCACACAGACUUGAUUCAUGAAGGCAUCAAGCCUGCACACUGGUUUGGAAACAACUUGGUUUUGAUCAGUCACACUGCAUGCAUGACUCACUGCUGAUCUCUGGGUGGUUUUUUCAUUUUAGAUUUAUUCACCCAGUGUCUUGCUUAAGCUGAAAAAUACAUUUAUUUCACUAGAA